CUGAAGGGAAUGGGUUCCGAUGACGCAUGCGCACGAUAUAUCAGAGGAUCCAAGUUGCAGAUGGACUCACGACUGCUACUCGCGGCUAGAUCGAUUGCAAGUGCAAGUGCUCGUACUCAAAUUAUGGAGGUGCUUGAUAAAGCUUUCUAGCUGGCUGGUCUAGCGUGAUUCUCGACUUCUGCUACAGUUGAUAAACAUUAUAUUGCUGAAGGUUGCUUUUACGCAGAAGCAUUGAGCUUGUGACUGCGCUCGAACACUAGAGAUUGUUUACUUUGGAACUCAAUUAACAGCUGUAGAAAUUCUUUGCUAUUUCCAAUUUUAUUGACCCUAAUUUAUCUAAGGGUAUGGUGCUAGAGGUACUGAUGUAACACAAUGUUAAUCGGCAGUAUAGUGUUAUCGUUAUAUUCUAUUAAGAUAUUGUUGUUGUCAAGCCA